GGGUGCCGCGGAGGGAUCAUUACACAAAUAUGAAGGCGGGCUGGAACCUCUCGGGGUUACAGCCUUGCUGAAUUAUUCACCCUUGUCUUUUGCGUACUUCUUGUUUCCUUGGUGGGUUCGCCCACCACUAGGACAAACAUAAACCUUUUGUAAUUGCAAUCAGCGUCAGUAACAAAUUAAUAAUUACAACUUUCAACAACGGAUCUCUUGGUUCUGGCAUCGAUGAAGAACGCAGCGAAAUGCGAUAAGUAGUGUGAAUUGCAGAAUUCAGUGAAUCAUCGAAUCUUUGAACGCACAUUGCGCCCUUUGGUAUUCCAAAGGGCAUGCCUGUUCGAGCGUCAUUUGUACCCUCAAGCUUUGCUUGGUGUUGGGCGUCUUGUCUCUAGCUUUGCUGGAGACUCGCCUUAAAGUAAUUGGCAGCCGGCCUACUGGUUUCGGAGCGCAGCACAAGUCGCACUCUCUAUCAGCAAAGGUCUAGCAUCCAUUAAGCCUUUUUUUCAACUUUUGACCUCGGAUCAGGUAGGGAUACCCGCUGAACUUAAGCAUAUCAAAAAA
rnacentral:rRNA from 1 species